rnacentral:rRNA from 1 species
ACCUUUACACUGCACGCGAGUGCGAUAAGGGGACUCCAAGUGCGAGGGCAUAGAGCCCUCGCUUUUCGUGACCGUAAGGUGGUCACAGAAUAAGUGCUGGGCAAGACCGGUGCCAGCCGCCGCGGUAAUACCGGCAGCACGAGUGAUGGCCGCUCUUAUUGGGCCUAAAGCGUCCGUAGCUGGCCGCGCAAGUCCAUCGGGACAUCUCUCCGCCUAACGGAGAGGCGUCCGACGGAAACUGCGUGACUUGGGACCGGAAGAUCCAGAGGGUACGUCCGGGGUAGGAGUGAAAUCCUGUAAUCCUGGACGGACCACCGGUGGCGAAAGCGCUCUGGAAAGACGGAUCCGACGGUGAGGGACGAAAGCUCGGGUCACGAACCGGAUUAGAUACCCGGGUAGUCCGAGCUGUAAACGAUGUCUGCUAGAUGUGGCACAGGCUACGAGCCUGUGCUGUGUCGUAGGGAAGCCGUGAAGCAGACCGCCUGGGAAGUACGUCCGCAAGGAUGAAACUUAA